rnacentral:rRNA from 1 species
CCUACGGGCGGCAGCAGUGGGGAAUAUUGCACAAUGGGGGAAACCCUGAUGCAGCGACGCCGCGUGAGUGAAGAAGUAUUUCGGUAUGUAAAGCUCUAUCAGCAGGGAAGAAAAUGACGGUACCUGAUUAAGAAGCCCCGGCUAACUACGUGCCAGCAGCCGCGGUAAUACGUAGGGGGCAAGCGUUAUCCGGAUUUACUGGGUGUAAAGGGGGCGUUGACGGCAGCACAAGUCUGGAGUGAAAUGCCGGGGCUUAACCCCGGGACUGCUUUGGAAACUGUGCAGCUAGAGUGCAGGAGAGGUAAGUGGAAUUCCUAGUGUAGCGGUGAAAUGCGUAGAUAUUAGGAGGAACACCAGUGGCGAAGGCGGCUUACUGGACUGUAACUGACGUUGAGGCUCGAAAGCGUGGGGAGCAAACAGGAUUAGAUACCCGGGUAGUC